rnacentral:lncRNA from 1 species
GACUCCAUAUCUCUCUUUCUCUCUCUAGAUUAUCUCUUCAGCUCCAUGGUUCAAAUCCAUCGCUCUGCAUUUUUGUGGGAAAGAAAAGCGCAACGCUUUAUCAGAUUAACAAAAAAGGCAGUCCAGUCUUUAUAGUGAGGUUCUUAGUCCCUCUUGUCUGCUUAGUUGUUUCCUUUUAUAACAAGUUUUAUGCAUCUUUUAUAUUUUAAUGUUCUAGCGAUUUUGUUGUUUAAUUGUGCUUAGCCCCUU